rnacentral:rRNA from 1 species
UCUGGUUGAUCCUGCCAGUAGUGAUAUGCUUGUUUCAAAGAUUAAGCCAUGCAUGUCUAAGUAUAAGCGAACUUAUACAGUGAAACUGCGGAUGGCUCAUUAAAACAGUUUGAAUUUAUUUGAUGAAUGUAUGAGAAUACUACUUGGAUAACCGUAGUAAUUCUAGAGCUAAUACAUGCAACGACGCCCGACCGUUUCACUACGGAAGGGCUGUAUUUAUUGGAUACCAAAACCAUCCUUCCCUCGGGAAGUUUUGUUUGAUGAUUCACAAUAACUGAUCGGAUCGCCACUGUGGUGGCGACAGGUCAUUCAACAUUCUGCCCUAUCAGCUUUCGAUGGUUGUGUAGUGGACAACCAUGGCCAUAACGGGUAACGGAGAAUCAGGGUUCGAUUCCGGAGAAGGAGCUUGAGAAUUGGCUACUACAUCUAAGGAAGGCAGCAGGCGCGCAAAUUACCCAAUCCCGAUUCGGGGAGGUAGUGACAAAAAAUAACAAUACCGGGCCUUUUUGGGCUUGGUAAUUGGAAUGAGGGAGAGUUAAACGGACCAUCGAGUAUCCAUUGGAGGGCAAGUCUGGUGCCAGCAGCUGCGGUAAUACCAGCUCCAAUAGCGUAUAUUAAGUUGUUGCAGUUAAAAAGCUCGUAGUUGGACUUGUGUGCGCUGUCCGCGGGUGGCCUGCGCCCAAAAGGGCGUUUCGGUUCGGCCCCGGUGGCGCCUUGAAAUCUGCAGCUGGGGGGACGUUGGCCUUAACUGGUCGGCGACCGCACGCCGGCUGCUCGGUUACUGUGAGAAAAUUAGAGUGUUCAAGGCAGGCAUUGGGUGCAAUUGAAUACAUUAGCAUGGAAUAAUAAAAUAUGGCUCCUGCCGUAUUUUGUUGGUUUUGACUGGUGGGAGUAAUGAUUGAUAGGGACGGUUGGGGGUGCUAGUAUUGAGCGGCCAGAGGUGAAAUUCAUGGAUUCGCUCAAGACUAACUUAUGCGAAAGCAUUCACCAAGGACGUCCUCUUUAAUCAAGAACGAAAGUUGGGGGAUCGAAGACGAUCAGAUACCGUCGUAGUCUCAACCAUAAACUAUGUCGACUUGGGAUCGGCGGUAGUUUUUUCAUUAAGACACUGUCGGGACCACGGGAGAAAUCAAAGUGUCUGGACUCUGGGGGAAGUAUGGUCGCAAGGCUGAAACUUGAAGGAAUUGACGGAAGGGUACCACCAGGAGUGGAGCCUGCGGCUUAAUUUGACCCAACACGGGGAAACUUACCAGGUCCAGAGAUGUAGAGGAUUGACAGAUUGAAGCUCUUUCUUGAUCACUUCGGUGGUGGUGCAUGGCCGUUCUUAGUUGGUGGAGUGAUUUGUCUGGUUAAUUCCGUUAAC